rnacentral:rRNA from 1 species
CAGCAGCCACGGGAAUACGGAGGGUGCAAGCGUUAAUCGGAAUUACUGGGCGUAAAGCGCACGCAGGCGGUCUGACAAGUCAGAUGUGAAAUCCCCGGGCUUAACCUGGGAACUGCAUUUGAAACUGUCAGGCUGGAGUCUUGUAGAGGGGGGUGGAAUUCCAGGUGUAGCGGUGAAAUGCGUAGAGAUCUGGAGGAAUACCGGUGGCGAAGGCGGCCCCCUGGACAAAGACUGACGCUCAGGUGCGAAAGCGUGGGGAGCAAACAGGGUUAGAUACCCGCGUAGUCCCUGUCUCUUAUAC